GACGAACGCUGGCGGCGUGCCUAACACAUGCAAGUUGAGCGCUGAAGGUUGGUACUUGUACCAACUGGAUGAGCAGCGAACGGGUGAGUAACGCGUGGGGAAUCUGCCUUUGAGCGGGGGACAACAUUUGGAAACGAAUGCUAAUACCGCAUAAAAACUUUAAACACAAGUUUUAAGUUUGAAAGAUGCAAUUGCAUCACUCAAAGAUGAUCCCGCGUUGUAUUAGCUAGUUGGUGAGGUAAAGGCUCACCAAGGCGAUGAUACAUAGCCGACCUGAGAGGGGGAUCGGCCACAUUGGGACUGAGACACGGCCCAAACUCCUACGGGAGGCAGCAGUAGGGAAUCUUCGGCAAUGGACGAAAGUCUGACCGAGCAACGCCGCGUGAGUGAAGAAGGUUUUCGGAUCGUAAAACUCUGUUGGUAGAGAAGAACGUUGGUGAGAGUGGAAAGCUCAUCAAGUGACGGUAACUACCCAGAAAGGGACGGCUAACUACGUG
rnacentral:rRNA from 1 species